rnacentral:misc_RNA from 1 species
UCAAAACACAGUUUAAGAAACCUAAUUCUUGGGAAAUAGAUCUGUGUAGGUGAGAGUUGAGGCUCUGACAUUGCAGGAAAACCUGAUGCAUAGAUCCGGCUGAGAUAUUCAUUUCUCCGUCUGAUCUGCUUGACAGAAUAUAUCUAUGGACGCCGACGGCGAAGCAGUGAAGCAUCCGGGCGGCCAGGUGUGCCAGAUCUGCGGCGAUGGCGUCGGCACCACUGCCACCGGCGAGCUCUUCGUCGCCUGCAGCGUCUGCGGGUUUCCUGUGUGUAGGGCGUGCUAUGAGUACGAGCGGAAGGAUGGGAACUUGUCCUGUCCUCAGUGCAAGACGAAAUAUAAACGGCACAAAGGGAGUCCACCGGUCGACGGGGAGGAGAAGGAUGACGCGGAUGGGGAUGAUGUGAGUGACUUCAGUUACCCGGCCAUCGACCAGGAGCAGAAGCAGAAGAUGUCUGAGAGGAUGCUGGGCUGGCACUACGGGCAAGGGGACGACAUCGGGCCAGCAAAGUAUGAUAGCGGAGAGCUUCCUCGGAACCCCAUUCCUCGCCUCACUCAUGGCUCCGAGGCGUCUCGCGAAUUGCCUGUGGCAUCCCCGGAUCAUAUGAUGUCGCCCGGAGGGGUCGGGAAACGGUCGCAUCCAAUGUUGUACCAAUCACCUAAUCAGUCGAGGGAAUUUUCGGGUGGAUUUGGAAAUGUUGCUUGGAAGGAAAGGGUUGAUGGAUGGAAGAUGAAGCAAGAUAAGAAUGCAAUACCACCUAUGACUAAUGGUGGUACAAGUCAUGCUCCUUCAGAGGGCAGGGCAGCUACUGAUUUUGAUGCGGCGACUGAGUAUAUGGAUGAUUCUUUAUUGAACGAUGAGGCUAGGCAGCCUCUUUCAAGGAAGGUUUCAAUUCCAUCAUCCAAGAUUAACCCUUACAGGAUGGUUAUCAUCGUGCGGCUAGUUGUCCUUUGUAUUUUUCUACAUUACCGUCUCACAAACCCUGUAAAAAAUGCCUUCAUUUUGUGGUUGCUGUCUGUUAUUUGCGAGAUUUGGUUUGCUGUUUCUUGGAUUCUGGAUCAGUUUCCCAAGUGGUUUCCAGUAAAUCGGGAGACUUAUCUUGAUAGAUUGGCAAUAAGGUAUGACAGAGAAGGCGAACCAUCUCAAUUGGCUGCUGUUGACAUUUUUGUC